rnacentral:rRNA from 1 species
AUCGAACGCUGGCGGCAGGCUUAACACAUGCAAGUCGAGCGUUCGGCGGAAGGGUGAGUAAAGUCUGGGAAACUGCUUGCUGGCGGGGGAUAACUACUGGAAACGGUAGCUAAUAAUGCAUACCAUCAGCUGUGCCCAGAUGGGAUUAGCUGGUGGGUGGGGUAACGGCUCACCUAGGAGACGAUCCGUAGCUGGUCUGAGAGGAUGACCAGCCACACUGGAACGGAGACACGGCCCAGACUCCUACGGGAGGCAGCAGUGGGGAAUAUUGCGCAAUGGACGAAAGUCUGAUGCAGCCAUGCCGCGUGUGUGAAGAAGGCCUUCGGGUUGUAAAGCACUUUCAGCGGGGAGGCGUUACCCGCAGAAGAAGCACCGGCUAACUACGUGCCAGCAGCCGCGGUAAUUC